GACAGAGGUGCCGAGCGUUAGGCGGAAUCACUGGGCUUAAAGCGUGUGUAGGUGGAUGCCUAAGUACCUUGUGAAAUCCCACGGCUUAACCGUGGAACUGCUUGGUAUACUGGGUGUCUUGAGCCAGCUAGGGGCUACCGGAACAAAUGGUGGAGCGGUGAAAUGCGUAGAUAUCGCUUGGAACGCCAAAGGUGAAAACAGGUCGCUGGGAGUGCGCCGACGCUGAGACACGAAAGCCAGGGGAGCAAACGGG
rnacentral:rRNA from 1 species